GGGGGAGUAUUCUGUAAGUGGUAGCAGAGCUGACUGUAAAUUAGUUGUCAUUGCGACUCGGGUGGUUCGACUCCAUCCUCCCCUACCA
rnacentral:tRNA from 5 species